GGUUCUUCUGCUUCUUGGUGCUCCAGAAGGGGCUGGUGGAGGUGGGAGAGAGGACUCUGUACAGAAGCCAUAAAGAGAGCGCUCUCUCCUUGAGUCACACGUGGGAAGUGGCCCUCAACUCCUGGGGCCCUCCAAGGUCCUGGGACCAGGGAGCUACUGCUGGAGCAGAAGGCUGGAGACAUCUUCAACAGCCUGAGUGCCGUCCGUGACAGGCCUACUAAGCGCCAGGUGCUGGGAAAUGGAGGAACGCUGAUGUGAGUGGAGGAAGACGUUUGCCAGAUUUCCAAGUCCCCUUAAUGUCUGUCCCUCUCUUCUACAACGGGGGAAGAAGCCCGUGUAACUGUAUGGUACACAUGUGCCCUGCUGAGCAAAUGUCCCA
rnacentral:lncRNA from 1 species